rnacentral:rRNA from 1 species
UACGUAGGGGCCAAGCGUUGUCCGGAAUUAUUGGGCGUAAAGAGCUUGUAGGCGGUUUGUCGCGUCUGCUGUGAAAUUUCGGGGCUCAACCCCGAACUUGCAGUGGGUACGGGCAGACUAGAGUGUGGUAGGGGAGACUGGAAUUCCUGGUGUAGCGGUGAAAUGCGCAGAUAUCAGGAGGAACACCGAUGGCGAAGGCAGGUCUCUGGGCCAUAACUGACGCUGAGAAGCGAAAGCAUGGGGAGCGAACAGG